rnacentral:lncRNA from 1 species
AUGGUUUGUUCAAUGCGGCCGCUUUGCAGGUGGCGGAGGAGACACAGCUUGUCUCUGCACGUUAAGGCGCGAGAAUGUCACGUUUCCCCCCAACACGUUGUAGUCUGGUGUUUUAUAAAUGCAAGGUUUUGUCUAGGAGGGAAACUUGGCCCUGGCAGGCAAAGGUCUUCACGGAAGAUGGCCCUGACUCUGCUGCUUCGUCUGCUCUCUUUUCAAUCUCAGCUGCCUUUUGUUUUUCCUGCAAGAAAUGUUUCUCUCAAGUGCAUGCAGGACGUUGAAGAAUUCCUUUCUGAUCUGAAUUCAGUGGAGCCCAAAGAAUAUGCUCUAAGAAUGUAUGACUCCGUCGGGAAGGUGGGCAGCAACGUUCUUGAUGGAAACGUGGACAGGCUGGGCUCUUACAGCGAGUGUCUCUCCACCCGCGGCCCUGCCGGGCGCUUCCGGGGCCGCUACUGCAAGCUCCACGUGGAGCAGAGGCAAGAUGGAGCUGACUACAGCGUGGGAGUGUGUGUGCCCGACUCCUGCACUGAAGAGGACGUGACUGCCAUGUCUCAGACGGAUAUUUUAAGAUUCAGAAAGGCUUCGUUCUGGGCUCCUUCUCUCCCACUCUUGGCAGUGAACUCUUCCUCCUCGUCUGGUGGGGGUGUGGCCAGGUGUGCCACUGGAUUGUUCCCCUUGGACACGUUUGCGGCCCUGUGUCUGGUCCUCAGCUUCCUGGGCCUCACCCUCCCACUGGCGGGAACCGUCUACGUGGCCGCCACCGGGCGGGGGUCGGACCACCAGACAUCACUGGAGCCCGAGGAGCCUCCGGCCGCCUACGGGAGCCUGCCUCUGAGGGCGCCGGCGGGGAGCGGGCCAGGAAGCGGAGUCCAGCCGACGGGCUGUGCGCCCGUCUCACCAUCAGGGACCCCGAGCGGAGGAGAAAGCAGGCGUGUUAACAAACUCACGAGAGGUUUUCUAGGCGCCAUGGACUGUGCUCUGAAAUGCUUUUCCUGGCAGAAGAAUGUGCCAGCCCUCUGGACCAUGAAGACGCAGGGAAGCACGUGCCCUGCCUUGAACGGCCUCCGAGCGUUGAGCCUCCUCUGGAUCGUGUCUGGGCACACCAGUCAGAUGACCGCAUGGCUGUCUCUGGAUAAUGUGCUUGAAUGGAAAGCCAGGGUGCUUAGAAACCCACUGUACCUUUAUUCUCGGAGUGGCCCCUUCUACCUUGGAGUGGACACAUUUUUCCUGAUCAGUGGCUGGUUAAGUGCAAGAUCAUUUUUAAAGAUGCGUCAGGAUUCAGACAAAGGAAUAACCCCUCGCGUCAUACUCAGAUACUUUUUCAGUCGCCUUAUAAGGCUGCAGCCUCUUCACCUGUACUCGGUGUGCCUGCUGGUUGGAUCGUUCUCUCUUGUGCCCUGGGGGCCCGUCUGGGAGGUGCCCAAGCUUCACCUGGAGAACUGCCGGCGUGCCUGGUGGACGAACUUGCUGUUGCUAAAUAACUUCCUGUCGGUCCAGGAUGCGUGCAACGGCUGGACGUGGUAUCUUGCCAAUGACUUUCAGUUCCAUCUCACCACCCCAGUGAUCGUCUUCAUCUACGGAAAAAGUCAGCGUGCCCUCGUCCUGCUCGGGGCCACGCUGCUCCUGGCAUCUUGCACCGCCUCUGCUCUGCUCACACUGGCUCACAACCUUCCGGUGGCAGCUCCGUCAGAAGCCAGGGAAGAGGCAGCCAGACGGUACUUCCUGGAGUACUACACGAAGCCCUACUGUCGGUACGGGCCGUUCCUCGUGGGCCUCUUACUGAGCGUUUUCAUGCACCCAGACCACCAGGCAAACGUCCUCAGAACCAAGGGGCAGGCUCUGCUGGGCUGGGGGUGCGCCCUGUCGACCCUCCUGCUAGUGGUCGCCCUGGCCUACACGGUGGAUGACGUCUCCCCCACCUCGUCCGGCGCUGCUGCCGUCUACCAAGGCCUCCACCGGACCCUGUGGGCGGCGGCCGUGGGCUGGGUACUGUUCGCGUGUCAGGAAGGCUACGGAGGUCUGGUGAACCGGCUGCUCUCCUGCGGUGUCUGGACGUGCCUGGCCAGCAUCAGCUACGCUUGCUACCUGGUACACCCCACCCUCAUCAUCCUCUACAACGGGCUUCAGGAGACGCUGAUUCACUACACAGACCUCAACAUGUUCUAUCUCUUCUUGGGACACUGCUUGCUGACCUUCAUCGCUGGGCUGGUCCUGACGCUGUGCAUUGAGAAGCCAUGUGAGGAUCUGAAGUGGUGCCUGCUGAAAGCAGUGCCCGCAGGGCCAAGAGCUUCCAGAGCAACCCUGGAGAGUGGAUGACCCUUUGUGGGAGGUGACUGAGCAAAGCCAAGGGUGGCUUCGUUUACAUCACAAAUGCUUGUGUUUCUUAAACAGGGUGUGAAUCAGAUUUUGUGAAUAUCUAAGGUAGACAAGUUCUCUGUGUUUAUCAUAUAAAAGUGUUCUGUGAUCAUCUGUUUAGUAUUUAUAGCAUGAUAACGCCCCAGUG